AUUAACAGAUUAAUGCUUUUUAGAAGUUAGAAGCUUCUUUAUAAAUUCUUUA
rnacentral:tRNA from 1 species